rnacentral:rRNA from 2 species
GGGAAAUUGUCAGUUGGAUUACUUGGGUCCACUAGAGUGUGGUAGAGGGUAGCGGAAUUCCCGGUGUAGCAGUGAAAUGCGUAGAGAUCGGGAGGAACAUCCGUGGCGAAGGCGGCUACAUGGACCAACACUGACACUGAGGCACGAAAGCGUGGGGAGCAAACAGGAUUAGAUACCCUGGUAGUCCACGCCCUAAACGAUGCGAACUGGAUGUUGGGUGCAAUUUGGCACGCAGUAUCGAAGCUAACGCGUUAAGUUCGCCGCCUGGGGAGUACGGUCGCAAGACUGAAACUCAAAGGAA